AGGACGAACGCUGGCGGCGUGCUUCAUACAUGCAAGUCGAACGAGAAUCUCUAGCUUGCUAGAGAGGAAAGUGGCGGACGGGUGAGUAAUAUGUAGAGAAUCUGCCCUGGAGAGGGGGACAACAGAGGGAAACUUCUGCUAAUACCCCAUAUGCGCGUAGUUGCGAUACUAUUCGUGAAAGAUUUAUCGCCCCAGGAUGAGUCUGCAUCUGAUUAGCUAGUUGGGGGUGUAAUGGACCACCAAGGCGACGAUCAGUAGCUGGUUUGAGAGGAUGAUCAGCCACAAUGGGACUGAGACACGGCCCAUACUCCUACGGGAGGCAGCAGUAGGGAAUUUUGCGCAAUGGGCGAAAGCCUGACGCAAGCAACGCCGCGUGAUCGUAGACGCCCUUCGGGGUGUAAAGAUCUGUCAGUAGGGACGAACAAUGACUGUACCUACAGAGGAAGCACCGGCUAACUCCGUGCCAGCCGCCGC
rnacentral:rRNA from 1 species